rnacentral:lncRNA from 1 species
CUCCGGCUCCAAUUCUAAUACCACACGUGGCUUCAGAAGACAUCAAUAUCGAAGGAUUCAAUGUUCCACGAGACACAAUUGUGAUUAUUAAUGGUUGGGCCAUGCAAAGAGAUCCUAAGAUAUGGAAAGAUGCGACAAGCUUUAAACCUGAGAGGUUUGAUGAAGAAGGAGAGGAGAAGAAGUUGGUAGCAUUUGGUAUGGGAAGAAGGGCUUGCCCAGGAGAACCCAUGGCUAUGCAAAGUGUUAGCUAUACUUUGGGAUUAAUGAUUCAAUGUUUUGACUGGAAACGAGUAAGUGAGAAGAAGCUUGAUAUGACAGAGAAUAAUUGGAUCACCUUGUCAAGGUUAAUUCCAUUGGAGGCUAUGUGUAAAGCCCGCCCACUCGCCAGCAAAGUUGGAAGUUAUUAACAAUAUUUUAUUUGGUAUAUUUGGGUGAGGAUCUAAUACUCAUAAUUUCGGUGUGUAAGUCUAUGCAUGUUAAAAUUAAUAAUAUUUGUCGUAUGUCCACAAGGCCAAAUGUAGUACUGGGUGUGGACUUGCAUAUACAAUAUCAAUAUUGUAUAAAUCCCAGUUUCCUUGAAUAAAUUUCUUUACUUUCUAUUGUUAUGAAUCCCAGUACUUUUUAAAAAGAGAUGUUACCUUUAAUUUCUUGCAUUAUUAAUGUCGUUUAGAUGAAUAAAACAAACCAUUAUCUAUAUAGUAAGAGAGCCAACAUAUAUAGUUCUUGUGAUUAUUGCAGUAAAUGACGGGUAAAAACUUGAUUAUUGCGCUGUAUACGAGUUGCUUAAGUUUGGAUGAAUAGAUCCAUGUUUCGCCUAUGGUAAUAGAUAGAAAAGCUCCUUAGGUGUCACGAAGAUAAAAGAGAAGAAAAGCUCCUUGAGUUGCAUUUAAUGAUGAUUAUCUCAAUUCCCUGAGUUUUUGUUAAGUUGUCACCAUUUUUAUGUUUCAAUAAAAAAAAAAAAUAGGACUUCAAAGUGUUUAAUGUGUGGUUUAAAAUUUUACCUAUUCAGUUAAUUGCAUAUAAAGAUUUAUGCAAAAUAAAAUAUUAUUGCCAACAUUUAUAAAAUUGUUAUCUAUUCUAUUUUAGGUAUCAAUUUUCUAAAUUGGAGUGCUUGACAUUGUCUAAACACCUGUUAAAGUUUUAAUGACAACAAACUAACCAAGAACAAAUUCUAAGUCUUCUAGACUUAAGCUGCUAUUUGAGCUUGUGAAUGUUAAGCGAGACUUGACUAAAAAGUAUGAAGAAAGGUGUAAAGCUUGUUUGUUCAUUUAUUACAUGUUCUAGAGGUUGGGAUUUUGUGACAAAUGGAUAAAGUGGAUCAAGCUUGUUUGGAAUCUUUAAGAGUCUCGGUGUUGGUGAACAAAAAUCCUACACAAGAGUUUAGCCCUCAAAGAGGUCUCUGACAAGUGUUAACGGCUUGACAAGUGUACCAAAUGUCCAAGUAGUAAAGACUCGAAAAUCUGAGUGGCGAUUUUUAUAGGGACUUUAUUUUGUACUUGUGUUGGAUUAUUUCCAAUUUGUAAGAGAAAAGAUGAGAUAAGGUAAAAGAAAAGAUGAAUUUAAAAGAAACAAUAACUAAAAUAAUAGAUAAAAAGAGACAAAAGAUAUAAAAGGGAAUUCAAUGGGAUGAGAAUGUUAGAACCUAACAUGUCUUAUUUACCUAAGAUGUAUUAUUUGUGAUUUUUCUCUAUCAAUCAGGUAAAUUUAUCCUAUCUACAUCUAUGAGAAUUCUUGCCCCUGAUGUCUUUGCAAAGAGUUAAUAGAUAAAAUGCAUGAAGUUUUAAUUCUAGAUGCUUGCUUUGAUGCAUGGGCAUAAUGCAAUCACUCUAUGUCUAGCAAUGAUUUUAUUAACAUACUCAUUUCUUUUAGUUUUAUUAUAAAUUACCCUCUGUCGAGCACCUAACCUCCAAAGAUGAUGCAAUGAUGAAUGAUGCAUGAAAUUAAAAGUAAGAAAGGAUAAUAUGAAAGAAAAUACCUGUUUGCAUUAAUAAAUAUGAAGUGUAAAAUACAUCUUUUAGUUUUUUAAGCUUGUUAAGUCCUAACUAAGGAUUUAGCCUCUCAUAGCUAUAAGGGGCCUUAUACUAAAAAAGGGGUAUAGGAACUGAUGGAGGAGAAGAGAUGGAAAAAGGGAACAGAAAAUUAUGAAAGAGAAAAAAGAAUUUCUUAAGGGAGAGUCCUCAGGCAGACUUUAGGUGUGUAUUAGAGUGCUCUGAGAUUUGGUGUGUCUUUUCUCCUUAACUUGACUCCUUUUUUAUAGUUGUUGGAGUGGACUUGGGCUUGACUCCCUUUUUAUAGUUGCUGGAGUAGACUUGGGCCUGGUGUAAAAAAUCUUCCUUAUUUAUAUUUUUGAAAUCCUGCCUAGGUUAGCUUUGCUAUUCUUAGCCGGUCCCAAGCCCGGAUAAAAGGAGAGGGUUGUGUUAGGCUUUCGACAGCCAACGUAAAACUUUGUCGAAUCUCUAUGACAUGGAUCAAUUACGUAAUAAUGUGAAUGCUAGGUCGUUGCCCGGAAGCAACGCGCUGUAUGGCUCGAGUACAGUGUCAAAAGAGCAAGGGCCGCUGCAUCACCGCCAAGAUGUAGUGAAAAGUAAGCAAGGGUUCCCACAUUUUCGUGAACGGGUGUGGGUAAAGAAGCUAGUUCAUGACAGGAGGAUUCGCUUCGGUACAUGGAAUAUAGGCACACUUACUGGAAAAUCUAUGGAAAUAGUGGAUGCUAUGGUGAGGAGGAAGAUCAAUUUUAUGUGCCUACAAGAAACUAAGUGGACAGGUGAAAAAGCGAAAGAAUUAGACAACUCGGGAUUUAAGCUAUGGUAUACGGGAAAAAUCAGAUCAAGAAAUGGGAUAGGGAUUAUUGUGGACAAGGAGUGGAAGAAGGAUGUCGUAGAUGUAAGAAGAGUAGGAGAUCGUAUCAUAGCCUUAAAAUUGGUAGUGGCACAGGACACCUUUAAUGUCAUUAGUGGGUACGCACCUCAGGUUGGGUUAGCAGAACACUUUAAGGUAAAAUUUUGGGAGGAUCUAGAAGGGGUACUUCAGGAUAUACCCCAAGGAGAGAAAGUUUUCCUAGGAGGGGAUGUCAAUGGACAUGUAGGUAGCGUGGAUAGAGGUUUUGAGGGGGUGCAUGGGGGUUUUGGCCUAGGGGAGAUGAAUGGGGAGGGUAAAUCCAUCUUGGAGUUUUCAGAGGCUUUGGAUCUUUCUAUAGCCAAUACAUGGUUUAAGAAAAGAGAGGAACAUCUUAUCACUUACAAAAGUGGAGGGACAUGUUCUCAGAUAGAUUUCUUCCUUAUCAGGAAGUCUGAUAGGAAGUAUUGCUUGAACUGUAAAGUUAUCCCGGGAGAGAGCUUGACUACCCAACAUAGAGUUUUGGUUAUGGAUGUAAGAAUUAGAGAUAGGGCAAAGAGAAGAAGUCCUAUGGUAGCACCAAGGAUCAAAUGGUGGCACUUGAAGGGUGAGAAACAAGGAAUCUUCCAACAAAAGAUAUGGGAGGGAUGGUGUGGACAAUCACAAGGAAGUGCAAAUGAUAUGUGGAACAAGACGUCCCAAGAGAUUAUUAAAGUGGCUAAAGAGACGUUGGGUGAAUCUAGAGGUUUUGGACCUAGGGGUAAAGAAUCGUGGUGGUGGAAUGAAAGUGUUCAGAGCAAAGUUAGAGUAAAAAAGGAGUGUUUCAAGGAGUGGUCUAGGUGUAGAAAUUCUGAAACUUGGGAUAAGUAUAAGAUAGCUAGAAAUGAAACCAAAAAGGAGGUGAGUGAGGCAAGAGCCCAAGCUUUUGACGGACUAUACCAAGCUCUAGGAACCAGGGACGGAGAAAGAUCUAUAUAUAGGCUUGCUAAGGGUAGAGAGAGGAAGACUAGAGAUUUGGAUCACGUAAAGUGUGUUAAGGAUGAAGAAGGCAAAGUCUUAGUGCAUGAAAAAGAUAUCAAGGAAAGGUGGAAGGUGUAUUUCCACAACUUAUUUAAUGAUGGAUAUGGAUAUGACUCUAGCAGUCUAGACACAAGAGAAGAGGACCGGAACUAUAAGUAUUAUCGUCGGAUUCAGAAACAGGAAGUAAAGGAAGCGUUGAAAAGAAUGAGUAACGGUAAGGCGGUGGGGCCAGACAACAUACCUAUUGAAGUGUGGAAAAAUCUUGGAGAUAAAGGUCUUGAGUGGCUCACCAAACUCUUUAAUGAAAUUAUGAGGUCAAAACGCAUGCCGGAGGAAUGGAGGAGAAGCACGUUAGUGCCAAUCUAUAAGAACAAGGGGGAUAUACAAAAUUGUGCAAAUUAUAGGGGAAUCAAGCUCAUGAGUCAUACCAUGAAAUUAUGGGAAAGAGUGAUCGAACGAAGAUUAAGAAAGGAGACUCAAGUUACUGAGAAUCAAUUUGGUUUCAUGCCGGGAAGGUCAACCAUGGAAGCGAUUUAUUUAUUACGGCGGGUGAUGGAGCAAUAUCGCAUGGACCAACAAGACUUGCACUUGAUUUUUAUUGACUUGGAGAAAGCGUAUGAUAGAGUGCCUAGAGAGAUUUUGUGAAAAGCUCUAGAGAAGAAAGGGGUUAAGGUUGCAUAUAUUCGAGCUAUCCAAGAUAUGUAUGAUAGGGUAUCGACUAGUGUUAGGACACAGGGUGGAGAGUCAGACGAUUUUCCCAUCACAAUUGGUUUGCAUCAAGGGUCAACCCUUAGCCCCUACCUUUUUACCUUAAUUCUGGAUGUCCUCACGGAACAAAUUCAAGAGAUAGCGCCGAGAUGCAUGCUUUUUGCAGAUGACAUAGUCCUCCUUGGAGAGUCGAGGGAGGAGUUGAAUGAGAGGUUGGAAACUUGGAGACGAGCUCUAGAAACACAUGGCUUUCGCCUAAGCAGAAGCAAAUCGGAGUAUAUGGAAUGUAAGUUCAACAAAAGUAGGAGGGUAUCUAACUCAGAGGUGAAAAUAGGAGACCAUAUUAUCUCUCAAGUCACACGGUUUAAAUAUCUUGGGUCUGUAAUACAGGAUGAUGGAGAAAUUGAAGGGGAUGUGAAUCAUCGCAUUCAAGCAGGAUGGAUGAAAUGGAGAAAAGCAUCGGGGGUGUUAUGUGAUGCAAAGGUACCGAUCAAGCUAAAGGGAAAGUUUUAUCGGACUGCGUAAGACCGGCGAUUUUGUACGGAACAGAAUGUUGGGCGGUCAAGAGCCAACAUGAGACUAAAGUAGGUGUAGUGGAGAUGAGGAUGUUGAGGUGGAUGUGUGGUAAGACUCGACAGGAUAAAAUUAGAAACGGAGCUAUUAGAGAGAGGGUUGGAGUAGCGCCUAUUGUAGAGAAGAUGGUGGAAAAUAGACUUAGGUGGUUUGGGCAUGUAGAGAGAAGACCGGUAGACUCUGUAGUGAGAAGAGUAGAUCAGAUGGAGAGAAGGCAAACAAUUCGAGGCAGAGGAAGACCCAAAAAGACUAUAAGAGAGGUUAUCAAGAAGGAUCUCGAACUUAAUGAUUUGGAUAGAAGUAUGGUACUUGAUAGAACAUUAUGGCGGAAGUUGAUCCAUGUAGCCGACCCCACCUAGUGGGAUAAGGCGUUGUUGUUGUUGUUGUAUUUAUAUUUUUGAUAUUUUCUAGAUCUUUUUUGCUUUUAAUUUCUCUUUUUCAUAUCUGCAAGUCAUAAAUAAGAAAAAUAUCAAUUUCUAAUAUUUAAGUAAAAAAUAACUACUAAAUAAAUAUUUUUAAAGACAUUUUCAAUAUAUUUUAUUAUAAAAAAUAACUCAUAUUUAACAGUUAUCAACAAGGUGACCUAAUUGCACAUUUUUUCCCUUGUGGUAGUUGAAGGUCUUGUGGGUCUUAUGAGACAAGCUUCGGUUGCAUAGCUUUUCUCUGACUUUUUGGUUGAGAGGAAAAAAGUGGAAAUUUCCUUGUUACAAUUCGUUGAUGACACAGUAGUCUUCUUUGCACAAUCGACCAUGGAAAAUGUGAGAUGAAUAAAGUGUAUACUUAGGUUCUUCGAAUUGGCUUUUGGGUUAAAUAUCAACUUUCAAAAGGCAAGUUGGCAACCUUAAUUAGGUAUAAGUGGGCACUUUGAAUCUUUGGCUGCAAUUUUUCUCAAUUGUAGGAUCAUGGACGUGCCCUUCAUGUAUCUAGGAAUCCUGAUUGAAGCAAAUCCUAGAAAGCAAGCUACAUGGGAGCCUAUCUUGGCCAAGCUUCGAUCCAAGUUAUUGGUGUGGAAGCAUAAAUUCUUAUCUCUCGGUGGUAAGGUUUGUUUAGUUAAUUUGGUCCUAUCUUUUCUAUCAUUUUUUAGGAUGCCCCAAAGGGUGGUUAAGAAGUUCAUUAGCAUUCAAAGAAACUUUUUAUGGGGCAGAUCGAGAUGAGAGGAAGAAAGUUGCUUGAGUCAAAUGGGAUUUGGUUUGCCUUCCAAAAGAUCAAGAGGGUUUGGGAAUUAAACAUAUUAAGUUUUUUAACCAAGCUUUUCUUGGUAAAUGGAGGUGGAGGGCAUUUGUGGAAAAGGGUAGUAUGUGGUCCUUGAGUGUUGCACUCAAAAUAUGGUUGUGAUAAUGUGUUGAAUAUGAGAAGGAGCAUCCUGAAGGUCUCUACAUGGUGGAAGGACUUGGUAAAAGUUUGCGAGGAAAACAAUGAGGAACCUUGGUUUGAUAACAAUGUUGCUUGGAGGCUAGGCUGUGGGAAUGAGAUACAAUUUUGGAAUCACGCUUGGAUUAAUGAUAAGCCUUUGAAGGAAAGGUUCCCACAUAUGUAUUUGAAUAGUCAGCAAAAUGUUUGUGUUGUUAGGAGGGUAGUGUUUGGUUAUGGAAGCUUUGUUGGAGGAGCCCUUGGUUUGAAUGGGAAAACUUAACACUUUGCGAUUUUGUACAUGUUUAAAUUUUGUCACGUUGAAAAGGGAUUAUUUGGACUUUUUGUUGUGGAAAGGGGAUCCAACAAGUACUCAUAUUGUUAGCUUUGCAUACAAGUGCUUGUUGGAGCUCAAUUCUCACUCCCCAAAAGUGAAUCCCGAAUUUGUUAGUAUUGUAUAGGAAACAAAAAUGUCUUCAAAUGGGUCAUUCUUGGUGUGGAGGUUGAUUUAUGACAUGCUUCCAGCCAGGGUAAGCCUUAGGAGAAGGAACGUUUGAGGAUUGGAUGAUGGAGCUUCCUGCUAGUUCUCUAACAACGUGGAAAAAGUCUACAUAACACCUGCUUUUCCUUUUCCCAUUCACUCAAUUAGUUUGGUCUAGUUGUUAUAAUUUGUUUCCUUGCAUGAUUUUUAUUUUAUCGAUUUAAUUCGUAAAAGUAAAAAUUCUUCCUUUUGUUAACUAAAUCAUACACAAUUGAAUACGUCAUUUUACUUUAUUUGACAUUUAUUAGUGAAUUUAUCAACUAGUCUUAUUAAACACUUUCAAUUAAAUCAUAUAGCUUAUAAGCUUUUAGCAACACCUAGCAUAUGACUAUGUUCGAUAAGUCAUUUCAACUAGUUUCUAGCUUUUUUUACUAGCCGAAAAACUUGUUUGCCUGUUCGGUAGACAAAUUUUUUAAAGUAGCUUUUAGUGUUUUUUGAUAUACUACUUAGGCGGCAAAACUAGGUGAAAAACUAGCUCAAAGCUAAGAGAUUAAAACUAGUAAUUAGAAGCUUAAAAACUAACUAAUUAAAUUAUAAGUGUUCAGUAAAACUAGCCGCUGAAGUAGCUAAAAAGUGUAAAAUGACAAAAAAGAAAUAAAACCAUGAUUUAUUUUAAAAAGGUAAUAUGAAAAUUUGAUAAAUAUAUUCAGAAUAAAAGGGAAGACAAUAUAAAAAAUUAGAAGUCGAUCUGCAUUUUAAAAAAUAUUAUUUCAAAUAAAGUUUUAAAGAAUGCUAGAAGUUACUAAAAAGUUUUAUUUAUCAAACAGUCACACACUUUUCAGCUAGUAAAAAAAACUAGAAACUAACUGAAAUGUCUUGCCAAACAUAGUCAUGAAAUAGAAUUUUUUUAAAACCCUAACUUCUACCUUUUAUAUUUUAUUUUAUUUUUAUCCUUAAAAUAUUUAUUCAAUUUUUUUAUUAUCCUUUUCAAAUAUGUUAUUUUACAUUUUCUGGCCACCUCAAUAAUUAACUUUAUUAAACACUUAAGAUUUAAUGAACUAGCUUAAAAGUUUUUAGCUACCUGCUAGUUUUUUCCAAGCAUAGUUUAUAGCUUAUAGUUUAUUAGCCAGCUUAUCAACUAAUUUUUACCAAACAUAACCUAUAUAUAAAACUAUAAGAAGUGAUCAUGGUAGACAUUUUUAAAAUAAAAUUUAAAUUAUUUUAUGAUGAAUAUGUCAUUUCUUCUUUACUUGUAGAACUCUUCAACAAAUUAGGGUCUUGAUAGGUAGAUCAAGAUUACUCCUUCAAGUUUUAAGUAUAAGAAAAAAAAAACACAUUUUUUGUUUCAAUUAUAAGAAAAUUUCAAUUAACUUCAUCUUAUUAAAUACUACUAUAUCUAAAAUAUCUUUCAUUUAAUUGAAGUUUUAGUUUCAAUUAACUAAUCUUUUUUUAGAUGGUAUAUCAUAUUUUAUUUUCUUUUUAUAUUUGAGACUAAAAGAGAGUAUGUAAGGAAAUGGUAAUUGUUCCAGAUUGGUAGUUUAAGGAAAAGAAGGAAGAGAAAAAGUAAAAGAAUCUGACGUCUAAUAGUUCUGUUAGGAUUUUCGAGGGUGGACUAGAGGGAAAUACAAAACAAGAGACACAUAAUCUACACGAGUAGGAAGAAGAAUAAAAGAAAAGUAGAAAAUGAUUCAAAUAUUAAGACCACAUUGAUGGGGGACAAAGGAUAGACCCCAUAAGUAAGAAACAAUGUGUGGAUGGAUAAGCUAUUAAAUUUAGACACCCGUUUUGUUGGGUGUGAUGGAUUUGGUGAUGAUGACACAUGGCUUUGUAAUUGUAAAGGUGGGAAAACAAAUAUUACCGAGGAAGAAAGAGCAAAAUUCCUAGAGAUUUUAGUGUCAAACGGGGAAUAUUUAGGGUGGUGUAAAAGCUAGAAACGUGUUAGCUUCCAUAUCAUUGAGAAUAAGUUGAAACAUGAAUAGGCUUUGAAGGGUCAGAUUAAGAUUGUAGUUGUUCAUAAUAUUAUCAAGCUAGUUUUAUCCCUCAGAGGAAAAUUAAUGUGCUAAUGAUAUUGUAGUUUCUCAAGAAAUCUCCCACUCAAUGAGAAGCAAGACGGGAAACAUGGGCUGGAUGGUGAUAAAGGUUGAUCUAGAAAAGGCUUACGACAGACUGAAAUGGGACUUUGUGUGAGAUACCUUGAACGACAUUGGUUGCCAUCCUAAUUUUGUUUCGUUGGUAUGGAAUUGUAUUUCUUCACCUACUAUAUAUGUAGCAUGCUUUGAAACUGGGAAGCGUUGGAGGAGUUUCAGCCUAAGCGAGGGCUAAGACAAGGCGAUCCUAUCUCGCCUUACCUUUUUGUUUUAUGCCUAGAGUUAUCCAUACGAUUAAUCUAGUUGUGGGGAAGAAUCUAUGGAUGCCUAUUCAGAUCUCUAGAGGUGGCCUGACUUUUUCACAGCUAACCUUUGCAGACAACCUUUUUUUGUUUGCAGAGACAUCUGUUGUCUGGGUGGAUGUUAUCAACUAUGCUUUAAGGAACUUUUGUGAGAGUUCAGGAGCAAAAGUGAAUGAGGAAAAAAUAAGAAUUUUCUUUUUGAAAAAUGUAAAUUGGCAUAUCAAGGAGGAGACUUCAGCAGGCUUUGACUUUCAAUGCAAUGAAAACAUAGGAAAAUACCCUGGCGUGCCCAUUUUUCAUAAAACUGUUAGUUCCCAAACCUUCAACUAUGCGACUGAAAAAGUUGAUAAAAGACUUGACAGCUAGAAAUCUAAUCUUUUGUCUAUGGCUUGAAGUGUCACUCUGGCCCAAUUGAUGAUCCAAGCGUUGCCAACCUAUGUAAUGUAGAUAAAUUCCCUGCGAGCUGUGGUGGUGUGUGAGUCCAUCGACAAGAAGUGCAUGUCUUUUAUAUGGGGCGAUACUAUUGAAGCCCAUAAAAUUCACAUUGUUUCUUGGGAGAAUUUGUGCAUGGUGGGUUGGGACUAAGGUCAGCAUGAAGUAUAAACAAAGCUUACACGAUGAAGAUAGGUUGGAAGUUAAUCUCAAAGCGGCACACAGUUUGGGCAUCUCUUAUGCGCGCAAAAUAUAAGUGUGGAAAUGUGGAUAAACCAAAACAGAUUAAGUAUUAUGACAUUUUACUCUCAUCUUAGCUAAACCAAAACAGAUUAAGUAUUAAAAAAAAAAACAGAUUAAGCAACAUUGACCACGUAAACAAGCCGCUAGAUAUUGACAUAAAACAUAUUUAAUUUAACGUAUAAGAUUGGAUUAACUAAAAUUUUCCAAAUUAUCGUCAUUAAUUAAUCGGUUAAUAGUGGUCAUAAAUGAUGUUCACUUAUUAUAAUCAACGCUAAGAUAACACAUAAUUGAACCAAAAUCAACGCUUACAUAACACAAGUUUAAAAUAUAAGAGAAACUUAAUUAAACUUAUCUAAAAAUUAGCUAUACACUAUACUAUUGAUAAGUAAGAAUAUAAUAAAAAUCACCAUACUAUUGAUAAGUAAGAAAAUAAUAAAAAUUUAUUUUAAUUUAUCUGUAAGAAUCUAAAAUAGUAUUAAAAAAUUUACAACAAUCAACACAUCAUAUUCAACUAAUUGAGUUAGAUUUCAUUAACAAUAAAAAUUUAGAUUAAUUAUUUGUACAAUAAGUCUUACGUCUUAUUUUGACUAGAUUUGUUUAUUAAAAAAUUCACAUAAAUUUUAUGCAAUGAUCGAUAAAAGUAAGUUUAAAAAAUUUGUUAGAAAAUCUACUAUUAAAAUUUGUUAUCACCCGUCGGGUAUCGGAUGCCCCGUCCUCGUUCCGUUCUCGGUUCAGAUUUGUAAAAAAAUUAUAUUGAAAAUCUGAUUUAAAAAAAUUGAUUGUUAUACAUUUAUUUUUAACUACUUGUAUUUGCAGCACAUUUGUCUACAAAAAUCAUCAAAAAUAUAAUCUUGAAUUAUGUAAAAAUUAUAAAAACAUUAACCAGUAAUUAAUCAAAUUUUAAUAAUUUCAUCACCAGAAACGGAUACAGGAAUGGAUAUGAGACGGAUAGUGACAUCUUCAUUUUGACCCCAAUCAAUUCAAGUAUUUUUCAUCAAAAUUGAGAGGAUAUUUAUGGAUACGAAUUUCAUUAUUGCCAUUCCUAAUUUUAAGAUGACAAGUGGCAGUUUCUCCUACGAAAUGUACGAACCUUUUUUUGUUAGACUUGCAAGAUAGAGAAGAAAAUGCGUUUGCCUAUAGUUUCGGGAGUGUGAUUGACCCAUGUGGGUCCUUUUUAAAAACUUUUUAUCAAAAUGAAUUUGUCCUAAAACGUAUUACUGUCAUGGGUUUGUUUUUGACCAAGGUUAACCAGAAAAAUUGACUUAUUAUUUUGAUUCCACGUAAUUCUUUGCAAAACAAAAAGUAAAGGAAAAGAGUAUGUGGCAUUCACAUAAACCAACCAUUUCAAUUUGCGUUUUUAACUAUGCAAAUUUCGUUACCAAAGCUGGAUUUGUUAGACAUAAUAAAUGAUCAAUGAGAAACAGCAAAAUGGGAUUGCUGUUCAAGGUGGUACAAGCAAACAGCAGGCCGAAAUUGCUGGAUCAUGAACACACGGAAGCAGCGCUGUGAACCGCAACACGUAUUUGCUGGUUCUAGUUUUUUUUAAAUGUUUAUUUUUAAUUUUUUAUAUACUUUAUUGUUAUUAUAGAAUUUACUUAUUUAUAAUAUGUGUAUUGUUUAAUAUUUUAUAUUUUUUGUUAUUAUAGAACUUGAAGAUGUGCAAAUAAACUUUUUUUUUUUACAUCAAUUAUAAUUAGAACCAAUACUGCAUCAACUUUUACAUCUAUUGUAAAAUAUCUGAUGUAAAAAUCUGGCAUAAAAUGUUAUUUUUGUAGUAGUGGAAAUCCCACACUAUAUAAAUAGAAAUCAUCCUAAGUAAGCUAAGUGUUGACCAAUGAUGCAUCCCACAGUAUUCCAUGCCCUGCAUUACGCCGACUUGCUAUCCUUCCUACAUUCCUAUUCAAUCUGCCAACUACAAACUUCAAAAAUAUGAAUCCCCAUGAAUCAAAAAUUAAUUUUAGGGUGUGUACCUUCCAUGAUAUGAUCACCAUAUGAACUGCUUUAAGUUUCAAACGUGCUCUUAGCAGCUUUCGGGCACCUCCUUAAAGUUUUCGGCACGGUCCUAGUAUUUUUCAACUACCUUCUUGAAGGUUAACUUUGGCGUCGCAUAAUGAACUUCUCUUACUUUCUUAUGUUUAUUCUCAUGUCUUCCAUUAUGUUUAUGUUUAUUUUGACUGCACUAAUUUGUUUAUAAACCUCAAAGGGUGCGUUGUGAAUGGCUAAGACCAUGUGUGGUUGCGACUGAAACUACGCACACAAGCAGUGAACCAUUGUUCCUACACUAUACUGAAAACUCUCAAUUAGCUUGGUAACAUAUGUUUCACUGGAGGCUUGCCACGCGGAGGAAUUCAGAUAUAUAUAUCAUGUGAGAUUCCCUUAACUCAGUACCAUGCACGAUUCAACUUAGUUAUCAUGUAACCCCUUAGUUAACUCGGUAACCUAGCUAGGUCCAUACCCAAUUUAGUACCAUGGUCUGGCUCAAAUUUAAGCCUCUUCGCUUUAUUAAGCUUGAGGUUAAAAGAUUGUGUACCUUUUUAACUUGGUAUCUGAGGUUCAUAUUUGACCUUGGUAUGAGGUUCAUACUUUAACUUUGAGAGUUGCUUAAGUAGUUUUAAGGUUGCGUUAAUGUACUAAGUCAAAGCAUGAAAACUUGCUUGGAUACCACCCUCACAUUUGCGUUCGUUGAAAUAGCCAUCGAGAAUUAAUCCCUUUUAAAGAUGUAAUUUUUCACUUUUGGGAUUUCACAUUACUUAUCACGCAUCUCCCCCUAAAUUGGGAGGAACCAGUACACACACAAUUGGAUAAAAAUUACCUCCAUAGAGUGUGGAAGGGGUUGAGAACACACCGUGGGCAAUAUAACGAAGGCAACACAACCAUAAAAAAUACUUUUAACAUCGUUUGUCUUAAAAAUGAUGUAAAAAAAAAAAACACGAUGACAAGUUAGUUUUUUAAAAAUCGAUACUGAAAUUAGUUUUUCAACAUCUUUUUAUUGUAAAAGGGUUGUUGAGCUAGAUUAUAAACCUUUUCAUUUUCUUCCUGUCUUUUGAAUUUCUUGUGGUUCGGUCCAUUUUGGAGUGACAUUGCUCGCUAGGCUUAGAUUCUCGUGUGGCAUCACGAGAAACAAUUUGAAUCUCCAUAUUCUUCCUGUCUUUUGAAUUUCUUAUGGUUAGCGUGUUGUAAAUGAAGAAUUUUGAGGUGUCAUGGAAUGUGACUAUCUUUGGGGAGAACGAUCACGGUUUUUUCCUAUACAUAAAUUCCAAUGAUCUAGAGGAAAUAGGAUACGGCAAUUUUUUUUAAUCGAUGUUAAAGGAGUUUUUCUUUUAGAAGUACCAGAAACCUAAAAAGAGAUUGAUGGGCUUCUGUCACACCCUAAAUCAGUCCCGAAGGAAAAGAGUAAAAAAAAUUAACAAAAAGAAAAAAAACAUAAACACAAAAAAAAGAAAAAAAAAAGAAACAAAAGAGAGAGAAAACGUGAAAAAAAACAAAAGAACAAUAUAAAGAAGAAGAAGAAGAAAUAUAUUGUGUGAUCUAUUGGGCUCUUAAAGAGAACCCAUUAGGUGAAGAGACAACAAUGUGCAUACAAAUUAAAAAAAGGAAGGUCUUUGGAAUUAAAGCACAAAGGAGCAUAGAUCUUGGGAAAAGAAAACGAAUCAAUCCGACGACGUCAUUUGACAAGCUUUGUCAUAGAAGAGAGAGUGAUCAUCAGUUAAUCCAUCAUUUCCUCACUCUCUCAUGCUUUCUUCUCACAUUUCCUUUCUUCUUCUUCUACUAUGUUUUCCUAUUCUUUUGUUUCUUUUUUUACCAAAUUUGAAAAAUGUUUAUAUUCCAAAGAGAAAGGAUAGACAAAAUGUUUAGGACAAAUACUAGAUCUCUAUGAAGAAUUUGUGCGAAGAUGGGACUCGAGCUUCUUGUUGCGGUUGUUAGUGAGUUGCAUGAUGCCAUAGCUUGUGAUGCCCGGAAUGACGAUGCAUGCGGUGGCGAAUGCAAGGAAGAAGGGUUUAGAUUCCUGGGUCCUUCGCACGAUCUGAUUUUAUCCCAUUACCAUCUUUCUCUUUCCCUUGCCACCCUUCACCUUCGCUGUUAUUUACACCCUGUAUUUUAAUACAUGCAUCCCAUUUUAUGUUUUGGGCCUAGCCCAUUUUUGUACAAAUUUGAAAAAAAAUUUGAAAUUACUAUUUACACUGUCUUUUCUUACAAAUGCACUUUUUAUUUUGGGCCUAGCCCAUUUUAGUAAAGUGUGAAAUAAAAUGAACACCACUAUUUACAUCCUUUUUUCAACACAUGCACUUUUUUCAUUUUGGGCCCAACCCAUUUUCUUUAAGUCCGAGAUAAAAUGAAACUAAUGAAUACACCCCUUCUCUAUAUAUGCACCCCUGCCACUUAGGAUGGUGGUUAGACCGGUAUGUCAGCACUCCGUCAGUGUUGAUUAAGUCAAUGUCAACCUUUUGAUUUUGAAAAAAAUUAAAAAAUAGAUAAAUAAAAACAAUUUUGCAUAUUAGUGAAUGACUCUUUAUUUUAUUGUAUUUUUUUUAUUGUCUUUAUCGUUUAUUCUUCAAUGAGAUUUUAUUGUUAUCAUUGUCUAACUAAUUAGUUUAAUUAAUAAUGUAUUGUAAAUAUCUCGUUAUUCAUCUUAUUUCCCCCAUGUUUUUAUCCUGCAUCCUUAAUUAUUAAGUGUACUUCACACUACUAGUCUAUCUCUUUCUAUUCCCAUUCUAUGUAUCUGAUUUCAUGACACUAUGUCAAUUAUUUAUUUAUUUUUAUAAAUCCACAUUAACAUUCUUUAGUACACCCUUACAUUAUGUGCACUCCAUGCUAGAUCUCCGACUUGCUUGGUGGUGUUUCAAUAAUGUGAGUAAAUUUUUGAACAUCAUGUUGAGUCUCCAACUUGCAUGAGUUCACAAAGGUUAUCACAAACCUAAAUUUUUUUUUGAAAAAUAUAAAAUUCUCAAAUAAAUGAUCACUCAAUUCUCCUUUUUCAUGUUCCUCGCAUUUCAUGUUGAAUUUCCGACUUGCUUGACAGUGUUUCAAUAAAGUGUGAGUAAAUUUUGUGAAUGUCAUGAUGGGUCUCUGACUUGUUUGACUUCACAAAGUUUACCACAAAAUCAAAAUCUUUAAGUAAUAAUAAUAAUAAUAAUAAAAUCAAUCCAACACACAAGCUAUUUUUCUACAAAGAACUACAUAAGUUUGAUUUUCUCAUUAUACUUGAAGAUAAUAAGAGCAAGGACAAACACCUUGUCAACCUAAAAAAGUUAAAAAAAAAACAUAAAAUUUCUUCUUUUUUUCCAAAAAAAUAAAAAUAAAAAUAUUAUUUUCUUUAUUUUCUAAAUAAACAAAAAAAAUACAACAAAUAUAAUGCAUGUCUUCAAGGGAAAAUAAAUAAUUAAGAACUCAUUUUAUUUUUAGCACACUCAAUUAAAGACUAUCGUUUUCAUGACCGACGUGUGAGGUGUUAACAUCUUUCCGGUGUGUAAAUGACUCUCAAUUUUUUUUUCUCAAAUCGUAGACCAUUCAUUAUUUUAUUUUUAUUUUCUAGAUGUUUUUCUUAAAUAAAUGGUUGUGAUGAUUCCCUAAAUAAGUUUUCCAUUUUUUUUUUGGAAACAUUUUGUUUAUCUAAUUUUUUAUUUCGGUGUCACGUCGCGACCGGACAACUUCAAUGUUUUGAUGCUUAGUUAUCUUAAGUAUCGAUCUAGAGGUGACUUAUGACCGGAACAUAUUCUUUUUCUUGUUUGUAAUUUUUUGUCAGGAAAUGAAUUAAGCAACAGAAAAAGAAAAAUAUGUUACUUUCAGUACUGUUUCCUUAAAAAGUUGAAAUAAAAAACCAAAUUGUCGAUGACGUUAUUUUAACUAAAUAUAAAAAAAAGAACUUCCUUUUGUUAUAAUUUUAUAUUUGUUAAAAAAAUGUUUUGUGAAAAAAAAAAGAUUCGGGAAAUAUAAUAAUUAUAUAUGACAGUGCGGCGGAGUUUGAUUAUUUGAAGAUUCAAAUUAAGGAUAAGGAUAAAAUUAGAGUAAUAUAAUUUAAUUAUACUAAAUUAUUAAUUAUAUGGUUAAAUUAUUUUAUUAUAUAGUCUUAUUUAAUAUUUAAUACUAAUUUUUUUAUAAUAUAAUAAUACUGUAAAAAAUUCUUAUAUUAAUAUUUAUAGAAUUUUAUAUUAUUCAAUUUAUUAUAUAAUUAUAAUUUAUUAAUUAAAUUAAUCAAAAUAAUUUUAUAUAAAAUUGUUGAUGAUAUAGAAGUUUAGUGUAAGUGUAAGUUAUAAUUUGUUAUCUCUUUAUGCCAAAUACCCAGGAAAAGUAUGAAUACUUUCGAAUUUCAAUGCGAUAGCUGUUCUUCUACUCCUUAUUAUUAUUUAUUUAUUUAUCUUUUUGACUGCAUGAUAAAGAAAAUUAUUAUUUAUUUUUAACUUUUGAGACACCACGAGUCUUUGACUUUGAAUUUGAACCAUUCACGACGAAAGAAUACCCACCAAUGUGUUAGGGGUUUGGUUUAUUUAUUGAUUUAUUUUGAAUAUAAAGUUACUUAAAUUCAACAUGAUAAAUAUUAUAUACAAUUAAGUUGAAUUCAAUUUUUAAAGUAGGAAUCAAUAAUCAAAUUUAAUACUAAUAACUUAUUGAUUCAAAUAAUAUUGAACUUUUUUUUAAGUAAAGUUUAAAAUUCGAGUAUUAUGAAUAAAGAAAAUAUGAUUAGGAGGGAGAACCCUACUUAAAAUAAUCAGGAAAAUUUCAACAAAAAUUAAUCAUCAGUAAAAUCGGUAGAUAUUUCAUACAAAUAGCAUAAUUAAAAAAAAAUCAAACUUAAUUUAUUACUUUUUAUUUGUUUGAAAAUUUAAAAUAAUUUAAUUUGGUUUUGAAGACAUUUCUCCCCAACUUUACUGAAUGUGUGAGGAGAAAAUUAUAAGAUAAAAUAAUAACUAUACUAAAACAAUAAUAUGACAGUAUCAUAAAAAUAUUAAAAAUAUAUAAGUUAUGAUAAUUAAAAUAACAUAGAGAAAUAAAAUUUUAAUAAAAAUAUAUAUAUAAUUUAAUAGUUAUAUUAUGAAUUUUAAAUUAUUAUUCAACCAUAAAUCAUCAUUAAUAUUAAUAUGAUGGGUUUUAAUUUUAACGGCAUAUAAAAAAACAUUUUUUUUGAACUAUAUAGUAUCCACUUUGUGAUUAUUAGGCCUCAUCAGAACUGUCUAUUAAUAUUAUCUGUCAAGACAUGUUCUUGUAUAUAUAUAAAAAUAUAAGACCAGCUGAUACUGUAUAAGUAUAUUAAUAGUCUAAGGGGGCUGCUAAUAGUAGUACGACUGGACAAAAGUUGAGUAAAUAUUGACUGUUUGAGGCCACAUGGUUGUCAUUCAUGAGUUUUUGUUAAUUUAAAAUUCCACCAUACAUUAUGACAAAGUGUUAUAUAAAGGUCACUUCGCAUGCUACAUAUUGCACCACUCAAAUAUCAUAAACACUAAUCACUAGUAAUAGUGAUUAAUUUCCCAGUAAGUAAUAACAUCACAUCACAGUAUAGUCUUUGGUGCAACAAUCAAGUACUCAUCAGCAUGGGAAUGUUGUUGUUGUUGUUGUCUUACUCUCUCCUUUUCCUGGUUCUAUUCCUUACACUGAAAUCCCUUUUCCAAAGAAGAAAAUUGAGAAACCUACCACCAGGUCCUCCUCCUCUUCCCAUAAUAGGUAACCUUAACCUCCUCGAACAACCUAUUCACCGUUUCUUCCAACGCAUGUCCAAAGAAUAUGGAAACAUCGUUUCCCUUUGGUUCGGUUCACGUCUCGCCGUUGUCAUUUCCUCACCAACAGCAUACCAAGAAUGCUUCACCAAACACGACGUUGCCUUGGCCAACCGGCUACCUUCUCUCUCGGGAAAAUACAUAUUCUACAACAACACCACCGUAGGGUCCUGCUCCCACGGGGAGCACUGGCGGAACCUCCGCCGCAUCACCGCCCUGGACGUCCUCUCCACGCAGCGAGUCCACUCUUUCUCCGGAAUCCGAAGCGACGAGACGAAAAGGUUGGUACAGAGGUUGCUGGCCAAGAACUCCAAGGAGGGUUUUGCGCGCGUGGAGAUAAGCUCCAUGUUCAAUGACUUGACCUACAACAACAUCAUGAGGAUGAUAUCAGGGAAGAGGUUUUACGGAGAGGAGAGUGAGUUGAAGAACGUUGAGAAAGCGAGGGAGUUCAGAGAGACAGUGACAGAGAUGCUAGAACUCAUGGGGGUGGCUAAUAAGGGAGAUCACUUGCCAUUCCUAAGGUGGUUCGAUUUUCAGAAUGUGGAGAAGAGGUUGAAGAGUAUUAGUAAAAGGUAUGAUACCAUCUUGAAUGAGAUCAUUGAUGAGAACCGUAGCAAGAAGGACCGUGAGAAUUCCAUGAUUGAUCAUCUCCUCAAACUGCAAGAGACUCAGCCUGAGUACUACACUGACCAAAUCAUCAAAGGCCUUGCUUUGGUAAUUAUUUUAUUUCAUUAUCAUGAAAAUUAUUUUGUUAAUUUGCUAGUAAUUUCUUGUGUUAUAUAUCUGAUCACCUAGUGAAAAAUUAAGAGAGAAAGCAUGGCAAGGUGUUUUAUAACAUGUCUAUAUAAGAGCUUGAUUGUUUUUUAAAAUAAAAUUGUACUGAAUCAAAUACAGGUAUAGCUAGAAUAGAAGCAAUAUAUUCUUGCGGUUUUAAUUAUUGUUCAGCAGAUAGGGACCACAUUCUUGGUGACAACAUUCAGUUGUAUUCUUGGAGUUCGUUGAAGUCAAAACUAUUUUCUAAUUGUUGCUUUUCAUGACUGGUGUUGCAAUCUGUUAUAUUAUAUUAAUAUGCAUGUGGUUGUUUUAUUUGACUUCAUGCAUGACUGUAUUUGGGUUAGAUUUUUCCUUAUAGUCCCUUUAAUAUUUUCUUUUGCGGCUAAUAUUAAUAAAAAUGAAGUAUGAUAAAAAUCCAUGAGAAAUUAAUGAUUUGAAAGUAUAAUAAUUUCAAUAAUUUUGAUUUUUCCAACCUUAAUAUUUUAAAUUCAUAAUAAUUGAUUUAGUACUUUUAUCACUUUCCUCCUCUUCCCAACUUAUUUAUUUUUCUUCCAAAAGAGAGUGGUUUUAUUUCAUUGUAAUUUAAUUUAAAAUGACAUGAUAUGCUCUACCAAUGUAUUUUUUAACACUUCAUAUGGGAUUUUGGAUUGCAGGCCAUGCUUUUUGGCGGAACUGACUCGUCAACUGGAACUUUAGAGUGGUCAUUAUCUAAUUUAUUGAAUUAUCCAGAGGUGUUGAAGAAAGCAAAAGACGAAUUGGACACACAAGUAGGGCAAGACCGCUUGUUAAAUGAGUCAGACCUGCCAAAACUUCCUUAUCUUAGAAAGAUCAUCCUUGAGACACUUAGGUUGUAUCCCCCAGCUCCAAUUCUAAUACCUCAUGUUUCUUCAGAAGAUAUUACUAUUGAAGGAUUCAAUGUCCCACGAGACACAAUUGUGAUCAUUAAUGGUUGGGGCAUGCAGAGAGAUCCUCAGUUAUGGAAUGAUGCUACAUGCUUUAAACCUGAGAGGUUUGAUGUGGAGGGAGAGGAGAAAAAGUUGGUAGCAUUUGGGAUGGGAAGAAGGGCUUGUCCAGGAGAACCCAUGGCUAUGCAAAGCG